UUCUUUUACCUGUUCUGUCUUCCAUGUUGUUUAUGUGGGUUUCCAUUAAUGCUCUGCUGAAUGUAACGACAUGAGACCAAGGUGUGAACACAUAUGUGUAUGUGAAGCUUGAAAUGAACCUUAGGUGUGUUUUGGAUGGUGUACACUUUAAGUCAUCCAGUGGAGCUGGAUAGUCAAGUCAAGUCAGUUUUAUUUAUAUAGCACCAAUUCACAGCAGAGGUUAUGAUGGGUCACUUUUCAUGCAGAGAAAGUCUCGAUCAUAUAAUAUCCAGACUCUCAUUAUUUUCUGUCUUAUUUUGAGUUGAUCCUCAUUGAUUUCUUCCUGUCUUUGUUGUUGUUCCUGCCUCUGUGAUUGGCUGCCCCGCCCUGAUGUGUUUCGCCUGUGUCUCAUUGCCUCCUCUCACUUUGUGCAUUGAGUCUCUGUGAUUCUUCUCCUCAGUGUCAGUUUGUCUGUUGUGUUCCUGCAGUCUGUUGGAGUCACUGUCUUUUUUUCAUACUUUGUUCAUGUUCCUCAGUUUUUCCCAGUGCUCCUGCUGACCUGUGCCUAUUACCUGUAAGAACUGGGAUUCAGCCUCCAAAUGUGAAGACUCUGUCUACCAGAACUUCAAUCCUGCCAGCAGGGGUCAGGACCAAAUUUAAUCUGCAUAUCUGAAGACCGAAAACAAAUGGUAAUGUUUGGGUGUGAAUUCGGACUGCACAUUGUGUAGCUUAUAUGUUUAUUUUGCUCUUCUUUUUUUUUGAGAUAUUUUCUAUUAACUUGUUUUUUUUUCUCUUCAGAUGAUACAAAAUUGGUCAUGUUGUGAAGGUGUUCAGUAUCUCUCUUCUUCUGAAAUAAAAGUAUAGCAGUUUCAUGGUGUUUGUUCUUUUAAACUUUGAGUAAUACAAAGGAAUGAGUAGAGUUCAGCUUGAAGCAGUUGCUUGAUAAGUCUGUUGUACUUUGUAAUGGAAGCUAAGAAAAGCCAAGUUCCCUCAGUUAUUAUUUUGUUUUCAAUUAUGACAUAAUUUUUUUGUCACACCAGUGCCAGAAUUUAUGAAUAUUAUGUUGAAAUGAAAUGAAAUGACUGGUUGAGUGAGUUACUGAUGGUUAUUGCCCAUAAAUAUAAUGUAUGGGAUUUGGAUUUAGUUGUAUGUGUUAUCUACUGAAGUAGUUGCACCCUUGAAGAAAUUUUUCAACAAUUUUGCUUCUGUGGAGAAUCCUGUUCACCCUGUGAGAUUCAUGGUUAUUUGGAUUUUGAGGGCCUGCUAAUCAUUUAAUCCUUGCUGUAUUUCAAGAGUAAUUAGCUUCAAUAAACAACUUUUGUAUGAAA